rnacentral:rRNA from 1 species
CGCCUUGCCAGCCCGCUCAGAAACUUAAAGGAAUUGACGGGGCCGCACAAGCGGUGGAGCAUGUGGUUAAUUCGAUGAUACGCGAGGAACCUUACCUGGGCUCAAAUGUAUGUUGACGUAUUCUGAAAGGGAUACUUCUUCGGACAAUAUACAAGGUGCUGCAUGGUUGUCGUCAGCUCGUGCCGUGAGGUGUCGGGUUAAGUCCCAUAACGAGCGCAACCCCUAUCAUUAGUUGCCAUCAGGUCAAGCUGGGGACUCUAAUGAAACUGCCUACGCAAGUAGUGAGGAAGGUGGGGAUGACGUCAAAUCAGCACGGCCCUUACGUCCAGGGCUACACACGUGCUACAAUGGCCGGUACAAAGGGCAGCUACCUGGUGACAGGAUGCUAAUCUCAAAAGCCGGUCUCAGUUCGGAUCGGAGUCUGCAACCCGACUCCGUGAAGCUGGAAUCGCUAGUAAUCGUGAAUCAGAAUGUCACGGUGAAUACGUUCCCGGGCCUU